ensembl:snRNA U6 U6 spliceosomal RNA
AUUUGUUUUGGCAAGAUAUAUACUAAAACUGGAGCAAUACAGAUAAGAUUAGCAUAGUCCCAGCUCAAGGAUGACAUACCAAUUUGUGAAGUGUUGCAUAUUUUC